GCUCCGGUAUCAUAGUGGCUAGAGCGUCCGCCUCGGAUGCAGGAGGUCGUGGGUUCGAUCCCCGGUCGAGUCA